rnacentral:rRNA from 1 species
UACGAAGGGUGCAAGCGUUACUCGGAAUUACUGGGCGUAAAGCGUGCGUAGGUGGUUUGUUAAGUCUGAUGUGAAAGCCCUGGGCUCAACCUGGGAAUUGCAUUGGAUACUGGCAGGCUAGAGUGCGGUAGAGGGUAGUGGAAUUCCCGGUGUAGCAGUGAAAAUGCGUAGAGAUCGGGAGGAACAUCUGUGGCGAAGGCGACUACCUGGACCAGCACUGACACUGAGGCACGAAAGCGUGGGGAGCAAACAGG